rnacentral:piRNA from 1 species
CAAAGUGAAGACAAGAACCCUGCU